AUGAUGCCAUCUCAACUCAUCGUUUCCAUCAUAACUUUGUUCUGGGUUAGAGGAGUUUAUCUCAGUAAAGAAAAACAAGUAUUUCAGACUCCAACUGAGCUGUUGGUGAAACCAAAAGAUGGAGUCAACUUGAGCCUCACACAUAAAAUCCCGAGCUAUGACACUGUUCUCUGGUAUCAGCGCUCACCAGGAAAUACUUCCCUAAAGCUCAUCGGCUACGUGUAUUAUAAAAAUCCUAAGGUUGAGUCAGAAUUUCAAAUUCACUUCAAUGUGAGUGGAGACGGAGAGAAAACAGCUUAUCUUCACAUCCUGAACCCGAGACACCCUGAAGAAAGUGGAGAAUAUUUUGGAGCAGCACGUAUAUACACAGCAAUAAAGACAGUGACUCUCUCAUACAAAAACCUCCACAAUGAUCCAGCAGAGAACAGCACACCAACAGGAAACCACUGGAACCACCUCACAGACAAAGUAUUCAACUGGUUCAUUAGAAUCUAUUUAUUUGUUCCUUUUAGCAUUGCACUGAAGUGAAGUUGACAUUAAAAGUAUUAAAAGGCAAUAAUAAAGAUCAAGAUAAGAUACAUUUACAAUUCAUUUUACAGGCUUUGAUUACAUUAUAUUUUGUAAUGAUGCCAACAAAGUCACAUAUUAAAGGUUGUCUCUGCUUUGCUCUCUCCUCUGUGCAGAUAAAGUCAAAAAGAUAUAUUGAGUCAUUUCAAAGUCAUAGGUCAUGUUUUACGAGUUCACUGCAUUGCAACUUGAACUUACCGGACAAUUUCAGAACCAGAACCAAAAGACAAACUUUUGCUAUUUAAGCUCACAGGAACAUUUUAUUUCUUUUUUUAUGUUUUCUUCUGCCAGUUGCAAGGAAAAAAGUUACACAUUUGCCUUUCAGUUCUGCUCAGUUUUGUGUUCACAUUAGGGCUGUGACUAACAAUGACUUUUAUUAUUAAUUUAUCAGGACAUUGUUUUGCUCCAUUAAUCCUUUGGUCUAAUAAAAUAUCCAACUAUGAACCAAAACCCAAAUGUAUUCAAUUUACUAAUACAAGAAAAUCCACGAAACUAAAAAUAUAACAAAUUAUAAAUUGAUUAUCAAAAGAGUUGCUGGUUCAUUUCUGUCGAUCAACUAAUACAUUUAUCAACAAAUCAUUUGAGCUCUGGUUUAGACCAACUUAAUUCAAAUGGUUUUGAAUUGGAACCUGAACAGGCUCCUCCCAGCAAGCUGCUCUUGAUGUGAU
rnacentral:lncRNA from 1 species